rnacentral:lncRNA from 1 species
AUGGGAUGGUAUUUUGGUCUCUCCCCCUCUGAAGGGUGUGAUUGCAAUUCCUCCUCUGCCCUCAUCUCUCUCUCUCUAUUUAGAGAGAAACAAUGAGGAGAUGGAAAGAUCGAACAAACACAUCUUUGUGAAACAACAAAGAGGUCCUUGGAGGCAGUGAGAUUACUGUGAAUUGACUCUUCCUGUGGUUAAUGGAAAAAGUGGCAGGAUUUGCUGAAAGUGAGGAAGCAUAUAAUGGAAUGUGAUGUGAGAAGAUCCUGUCAAUGGAAGUCUUUUAAGCCAUAAAUGAAAGAAAAUCAAUGAGGAAAUGCAUCCAAAAUAGGACACAGACAAAAAUCAGCAACCUCGAGAUGAGGUCUUUCUACGUUCCCCAGGCUGCCCUCAAGCUCCUGGGAUCAAGCCAUCCUCCACCUCAGCCUCCCAAGACCCUGGGUCUACAGGUACGCACCACCACACUGGCUUGUGAUGACGUAACUUUUGAAUGAACCGAUCAAUGUUAAGGGUUACUACUAGGGGCCUUGGAUCAGAAAUCCAUCCAUCUUCAAGAAGCCACAUUAGAAGGGAACCAUUUAAGAAGGAUGUUGCUGGCAUGUAAAACCAAUAGCAGUACCCUACUCCUCGCAGUUCUAGAGGAAUAGAACCGAGCAUGAAUGCUAAUUCAGUUGAUAAUUUCAUUUUCGCCCAUUAUAUAAAGUUACAUCCUAUUAUUUCAUGUAAAUUGAUGCAUGAUGGGGCAGGGCAGGCCCAAGGGCCAGAGCCUGAGGGACCCCAGGGCCUGGAUGCCCCAGCCAGCCUCCUCCUAAAGGGGAAGUUGUAAGAGGAAUAGGAUGACCUCUCACCACCACUUCCCUUCCCCAAAAAAGUGAGAAGCAUGGAGAAAGGCACAGGAGAAAAGUGAGGCAGCAGAGAGAGACAACAAGACAGCCCACACGAGAAUGAAGGACAAAGGUGGUGGUGAAGCAGAUGAAGCACUUUAACCAGCCUCCCAAGCAUGGCGCACUCUUAAGUUAGAAAUGCUCUGCAAGACAUAGCAUGAAAACACACUUCGGGGAAAAUGAAACUGAUAAGUUACAUUCCUUUACUUUCCUGCCUCAUUAUUAAUUAGUUUCCCACAUUUUUAUACAAAGUGUUUAUUAGUUAAUGUUACAGACCCAGCAAGGGGGUUUCUAUGGUUGGCUCUGCUGCCAAUUUGCUCUGAAAACUCAAGAACUUCUAUCUGGCAUGCGGUUGAGUCCAGAAGAGUGGACUAAUGAGACUCUUCCAGUUUUCCUAAUGCUCUAAGAGUCUGUAAUGCACUGCAAAUACACGUGGAAAAUUAUCUAUUGGUACAACACAGGAAACAGGAAACUUCUGCACCCAGUUAAGAUGAAGGAUAUUCCCCGUCCUCCCUGCCUGAAGUAAAGGGAUAAAUAAAAGUUUGUCUUCCUGGAGAAAACAAACUGGAUGUUUGAAUGGAUCAUUUUUCCCCUUCUAAACUAGAAAUUAAAACCUUGAGACAUGGUGAAA